rnacentral:rRNA from 1 species
UUUACUAGUGGCGGACGGGUGAGUAACGCGUGGGUAACCUGCCUUAUACAGGGGGAUAACAGUCAGAAAUGGCUGCUAAUACCGCAUAAGACCACGGUACCGCAUGGUACAGUGGUAAAAACUCCGGUGGUAUGAGAUGGACCCGCGUCUGAUUAGGUAGUUGGUGGGGUAACGGCCUACCAAGCCGACGAUCAGUAGCCGACCUGAGAGGGUGACCGGCCACAUUGGGACUGAGACACGGCCCAG